GAUGAAGAACGCAGCGAAAUGCGAUACGUAAUGUGAAUUGCAGAAUUCAGUGAAUCAUCGAAUCUUUGAACGCACAUUGCACUCUCUGGUAUUCCGGAGAGUAUGCUUGUUUGAGUAUCAGUAAACACCUCAAAUCUCUUGUUUCUUGUGAAUAAGAGAAUUGGACUUGAGCAAUCCCAACUCUUGCAAAAGAGGCGGGUUGCUUGAAAUGCAGGUGCAGCUGGACAUUCUUCUGAGCUAAAAGCAUAUUUAUUUAGUCCCGUAAAACGGAUUAUUACUUUUGCUGCAGCUAACAUAAAGGUUGAAUGGCCAAUAUGGCUGACUGAUGCAGGAUUAACAGAGAAUUUAUUCUUUGUAAACUCGAUCUCAAAUCAAGUACGACUACCCGCUGAACUUAAGCAUAUCAAUAAGCGUAGGA
rnacentral:misc_RNA from 1 species